UACGGAGGGUGCGAGCGUUGUCCGGAAUCAUUGGGCGUAAAGGGCGCGUAGGCGGUUUGUCGCGUCUGCUGUGAAAACUGGGGGCUCAACCCCCAGCCUGCAGUGGGUACGGGCAGACUAGAGUGCGGUAGGGGAGAUUGGAAUUCCUGGUGUAGCGGUGGAAUGCGCAGAUAUCAGGAGGAACACCGAUGGCGAAGGCAGAUCUCUGGGCCGUAACUGACGCUGAGGAGCGAAAGCAUGGGGAGCGAACAGG
rnacentral:rRNA from 1 species